rnacentral:rRNA from 1 species
UGAGUAACCUGCCCUUAACUCUGGGAUAAGCCUGGGAAACUGGGUCUAAUACCGGAUAUGACUCCUCAUCGCAUGGUGGGGGGUGGAAAGCUUUUUUGUGGUUUUGGAUGGACUCGCGGCCUAUCAGCUUGUUGGUGAGGUAAUGGCUCACCAAGGCGACGACGGGUAGCCGGCCUGAGUGGGUGACCGGCCACACUGGGACUGAGACACGGCCCAGACUCCUACGGGAGGCAG